rnacentral:rRNA from 1 species
GACGAACGCUGGCGGCGUGCUUAACACAUGCAAGUCGAACGGAAAGGCCCUGCUUUUGUGGGGUGCUCGAGUGGCGAACGGGUGAGUAACACGUGAGUAACCUGCCCUUGACUUUGGGAUAACUUCAGGAAACUGGGGCUAAUACCGGAUAGGAGCUCCUGCUGCAUGGUGGGGGCUGGAAAGUUUCGGCGGUUGGGGAUGGACUCGCGGCUUGUCAGCUUGUUGGUGGGGUAGUGGCUUACCAAGGCUUUGACGGGUAGCCGGCCUGAGAGGGUGACCGGCCACAUUGGGACUGAGAUACGGCCCAGACUCCUACGGGAGGCAGCAGUGGGGAAUAUUGCACAAUGGGCGGAAGCCUGAUGCAGCAACGCCGCGUGCGGGAUGACGGCCUUCGGGUUGUAAACCGCUUUCGCCUGUGACGAAGCGUGAGUGACGGUAAUGGGUAAAGAAGCACCGGCUAACUACGUG